AUGCCCACUUGCACAUCACAGAUACUAAAACUGGACAAUCCAGAGAAUAUUAGCAUGGCUUCUGCACAAGGAUGACAGGCAAACUCAUGAAGGAUUCCAUGUUUUU